GAAUGGGAUCGAUUUAGCCAUGCUAGUUGCACGAGUUUAGACUCGUGGCGGAAAGCUCAGUAACACGUGAUCAAACUACCCUAUGGAUUCGAAUAACCUCGGGAAACUGAGGCUAAUUCGGAAUAAGGCUCCAUCGCUGGAAUGCGUGGAGCUGGAAACGCUCCGGUGCCAUAGGAUGUGAUUGCGGCCGAUUAGGUAGACGGUGGGGUAACGGCCCACCGUGCCGAUAAUCGGUACGGGUUGUGAGAGCAAGAGCCCGGAGAUGGAUUCUGAGACAAGAAUCCAGGCCCUACGGGGCGCAGCAGGCGCGAAAACUUUACACUGCACGACAGUGCGAUAAGGGAACUCCAAGUGCGAGGGCAUAACGUCCUCGCUUUUGUGUAUCGUAAGGUGGUACACGAAUAAGAGCUGGGCAAGACCGGUGCCAGCCGCCGCGGUAAUACCGGCAGCUCAAGUGAUGACCAAUUUUAUUGGGCCUAAAGCGUCCGUAGCCGGCCAGACAGGUCCGUCGGGAAAUCUGCUCGCUCAACGAGCAGGCGUCCGGCGGAAACCCGCUGGCUUGGGGCCGGAAGAUCCAAGGGGUACGUCUGGGGUAGGAGU
rnacentral:rRNA from 1 species